rnacentral:rRNA from 1 species
GGCGGUCAGUGGCGGACGGGUGAGUAACGCGUAGGAACGUGCCCUGUUGUGGGGGAUAACUAGUCGAAAGAUUAGCUAAUACCGCAUACGACCUGAGGGUGAAAGCGGGGGACCGUAAGGCCUCGCGCAAUAGGAGCGGCCGAUGUCUGAUUAGCUAGUUGGUGGGGUAAAGGCCCACCAAGGCGACGAUCAGUAGCUGGUCUGAGAGGACGAUCAGCCACACUGGGACUGAGACACGGCCCAGACUCCUACGGGAGGCAGCAGUGGGGAAUUUUGGACAAUGGGGGCAACCCUGAUCCAGCAAUGCCGCGUGUGUGAAGAAGGCCUUCGGGUUGUAAAGCACUUUUGUCCGGAAAGAAAUCGCUCUGGCUAAUACCUGGGGUGGAUGACGGUACCGGAAGAAUAAGCACCGGCUAACUACGUGCCAGCAGCCGCGGUAAUACGUAGGGUGCGAGCGUUAAUCGGAAUUACUGGGCGUAAAGCGUGCGCAGGCGGUUUUGUAAGACAGGCGUGAAAUCCCCGGGCUCAACCUGGGAAUUGCGCUUGUGACUGCAAGGCUAGAGUGCGUCAGAGGGGGGUAGAAUUCCACGUGUAGCAGUGAAAUGCGUAGAGAUGUGGAGGAAUACCGAUGGCGAAGGC